rnacentral:rRNA from 1 species
GUAGUAGCAAAUACUCCAGCGAGGCCCUGGAGGGCUGAGGUGGAGAAGGGUUUCGUGUGAACAGCCGUUGCACACGAGUCAGUCGAUCCUAAGCCCUACGAGAGCUCUGAAGUAUGCGGGCCGGCCGGCGGCCCCUCUGGGCGAAAGGGAAUCCGGUUCCUAUUCCGGAACCCGGCAGCGGAACCGUUCUACGUCGGGCCCCCCUCCGAGAGGAGGGAAGCUCGUCGGGGUAACCCAAAAGGACCCGGAGACGCCGUCGGGAGAUCGGGGAAGAGUUUUCUUUUCUGUUUGAGCGCUCGAGUUCCCUGGAAUCCUCUAGCAGGGAGAUAGGGUUUGGAGCGCGAAGAGCACCGCAGUUGCGGCGGUGUCCCGAUCUUCCCCUCGGACCUUGAAAAUCCGGGUGAGGGCCACGUGGAGGUGUCGCGCCGGUUCGUACCCAUAUCCGCAGCAGGUCUCCAAGGUGAAGAGCCUCUAGUCGAUAGACUAAUGUAGGUAAAGGAAGUCGGCAAAUUGGAUC